AUGUGGGUUUGAAGCCAGCGUUUGAAAAUCACUCGCUCUCAGGUGAAACCAGGCCCUGGGUCAGAGCAACUUGCUCGGCUCGGGCGCAUCUCCCGUGUGCUAGACAAAGGCACCGUGGCCUGGGCGGCUUGUAAACCACGGAAAUUUCUUUCGCGCGGAUGUCGAGGCUGUCCUCGGAGACUGGGGUGCCGGUCAGCUCAGGUUGCCCUUCCGGUGCGGGCCUUUCUCUGUUCUCAGGUGGCUCCGGGGCUGCUGGGGGGGGAGGGGGGGCUCUUUGGGGUCCCUUCUGGGAGAUCGCUAACCCCUUGGUGAGGGCUCUACCCACAUGACCCAGUCACUUCCCAAAGGCCCACGACCGGCCAGUGGGGCACCUCAUCUUGGAGUCUGUCCGUUUGUCGCUGUGCUCUGUGAUGCCAUUGGAGUUCAGGCCACCCCUGCUUCCCGUGGGUCUCGCUGCUCCCUGUUGUGCUCUCUUCUCCUCGUGUCACCAGAGAGCACAUUGGACCGUGUCACUGCCCUAGUCACGCUGUUCAGUGACUUCCGGUGCAGCCCUUGAUGAGACCAGACACGACCAGGCCUGUGCCGCCCUCACCGCCCUCCUGUCUCUGCCAUCCUUCUUUCCACAAACGCCCAGCAACCCCCACAUCAUCCUCACCCGCCUCCAAACAUCUGGAACCACUCCGAGACUGUCUUGAGUACGUGCCCUGGUGCCCUGGGCAUGCUAUGUCUGGAAAGCUCUGCCCCACCUCUUUGCCUGGCCCACUCCUUUCUGUCCAUUCUUCAAGACAGGAUUUGGACAUCCUUUCCCACCAGAAGCCACCUGGAUCUCUCAGUGGGCCCGUUUACCUCUUAUGUCCUCCAGCAGAACCAUUGCUUGUAUUCUUGGUAUCCCCGAGCCCGUGAAGUCGGGGUCGGGAAUGUUUUAUUCGCAGAGGUAGAAUGGGCACUCAGGAGUAAUGUAAUAAAUUAGCAAAGUGCCAGUGGAUGGUCCGACAUCAACAACUCAGAAAGCACAGCCAUCUGAGGCUACCGCGUAUGAGACCACGAUCCCUGGCCACUUAGUUCCAUGCCUGCAUCAGAGUCCAGAACAGUCCGUUCUGACACAGAUAAGGAGAAACCAGCAGGUUCUCUGUGGAGUUCCAGUUUUAACAGGAUAGGUUCCAAUCCUCUGCUCCCGUCAGUCUGGCCUCAUUGAACAAAACAAGCAACUAGGAGGUUCCCUCCCCGGGCACCUGCCCCACUCCCCUGCCCCGCCCCCUCCCCACCCUUGAGGUCUCCGUGAGACCUUCCCAGGCUGCACUAUUACAGGCCUCAACUCCUGGUCCCUCAGGCCCCAGCACGUGAUCCGCUUCUGUGCUCCAUUCGCCUCCACAGCUGGUAUCACUCUCCAAGCUGCAACUUGUUUUGCUUGUCUUGUUUCUUGUCUGCCGGCCGGUCGACUGCAAGCCCCAUGAGGGCAGGGUUGAUGGCUUUUUUCUCGUUUUGUUCGGGGCUGUGCCCGCAGUGCACCCCGUGUCAGGGGCACAGCUGGAUUAACUCUCUGCUGAAUGCACGUAUAUAAGACUGAAGCACAUCACUGAGGGUGGACACGCAGGACACUGUGAUGCAAAUUUUGGAAUGACAUUCAGGAAGCGGGAAGCCCGGAAGCUUUGAAGCUGUGCUUGGCAGCUGGCCUGGUGGUAACAGAGAGCUCGGCGAAAGACAGAAAUACCCCAUCCUAGUUUUCUCUGUCUUCUCUGUGAAAAUGAUCUAAAAACUGAGAGGGAAGAAAGACUUAUGUAAUGAGAUCAAUUAGCUCUGAGAUAUUCAUGAGAGAAGACAGACCCCUUUCUUCAACUUCUCUCCAUCACUUCAAGCCUCCUCCUACCCCUCCUUCCAACGGGCAGGAAAUCCAGUCUCCGUGAUUUUGUGGAAGACUCUUCCCUACAAGACCUGGCCGGAGAGACCCAUGUCAAGUCCUGGUUAACUUGAAGCGUGUGGUUCAAGAAAGGAGAGGAAACCAGCAGCUGGCGCUGAAGGCUUUCCAGGAGAUCAGAUGGGUCCAAGGGAGGACGUCCCAGGGAACUAGAGUGAGGCUCAUUGGAGGCAUGGAGAUAAUUAGGAAUCUUUGAGCAAAUAUGGGGCAUGAUUGAGUUGCAAGAUAAAAGAGUACCUUCAUUUUGGCAAGAUGAUUUAUGAGUAUUCUUGAUACUUACCUCUGCAGACAAGUUGGGGGGGAUAUUGGCCAGAGGAGUCCACACCACGUACAUUGCACACUUAACUGUGCUCUGCAUUGAAAUCACAAAGAUGAAUAAAACAUGGUCCUUGUCUUGGAGAAACAGCCUGGAGGCCAUGGUAUCCGAGUUCCCACCAUUAGAGUUACUUUUUAGUUAAACUACUUCAUGAAGCCACCGCUUAAUGGAAGGAGGAAGGAACAAUCUAAUGAUUCCACGAGUGGUUGUCUAGUCUCAGUUGGUUUGCAAGAUGAGUUGCGUAGAUCUAGAAGAAACCAGGAACAGAAAUCGUUCGUUGAUUGUUGUGCUCGGGCUCUGGACAAAAGAGAACCGCCGAUUCAAUCUCUGCCUCCUUCACAGCUUGCCAAUCAAAGAGAGGCACAGAAGUAGGACACAGAGAGCAGGAAGAAACAUCUAAACGUGAAUGGCGGUGAGAUAUUUAUAGCGUGUGGAGCUCUGGAAUGCACAGCUGCAACCCGCAGGGAAAUGAGCAGUGGGCAAACCUAUCUGUCAAUCCAGCCUGCACUCGGUCCCUCGCGUUCCGAUGCGCAACGGCCGGGUGCCCAGCCCUGCACGGGGAGUCUUGAGGUGUGUAAACAUGGGAGAAAUCAUGGUCCUCAGUCUCAAGGAGGUCACCAUGAGAGGAGAGCUAAGCCAGACACGUGAUUGAGUGGUGACAGCACACAAGUGGAGUCAGGCAGGCUGUCAUCCGAUUUCAAUUUCACGGUGCCACUCUGAGCCAUUGUCUCCUUUUCUGUAACAAGAGGUGAUAGUAUGCACCACCCAGGGUUGUGUAAACAUUUAAGGAGCUAACAAAAAGUCCUAAUGCAACGACUGAUCUCAUAAAUGUUAGUUUUCCUCCUUUCUUCCACAAAUUACUCUUAAUGCGAAGCAGGAAGUGAUGUGACACAAGAAAAAUGCUCCGAGUUCGGAGAAUGGAGGUGCAAUUAUUGGCAGCUGGGGAGCUCCAAGAAGAAGUUCAGGGCAGGGGUGGCAUUUGACCCUGGCUUUGAAGAUGGAUGGAUUUAACUAUGUAGAAACAGGGGAUGAGGAAUUCCAGACAGGGAACAACAUGGACAAAGUCCCGGGGCAGGUGAAUGCUGGAGAGGUAGAUAAUGUUGGGAGAAAAUCAGGGGUCAUGUCAUUUAGGACUUUGAUGCUAGGCUAAGGUGAAGCCUCAGUUAUAAUCAAGGGUAUUUGAGCUGGAAGGUG